GUCCCUCGGCUUCCCGAAUGCUGGGGGACCCUGUCAUGACAGAAUUAAUAAAAUCCUCAUGCUUUUGCAUCGGCUGUAAUGUAUGAGAUGGUCUCUGGGGGCGACUCCUUCUCAGUGUUUGGACGCUAGAGUCCAACAUUUGGUUCCCUGACCGGGAAUCAAGUCGCUCCCAGACACACUCUAGACCCAGUUGGAGGUAUAAAGAAACAAGCUCAUUUUUAUGUCUGUCUGUUUGUAUAUUGUGUUUCUGUUUCUGUGUAAUUGUGAAUUAAUAAUCUGAAAAUUGUACCUGCGCAGGGCUAAUAUUUGAAGGGGACCAGGCAGUGGGACAGACGUGUCCGGGAAAACUCCCUGGCCCAGCCGUGGAGGACGCUUCAAUGGCAAUUUGUGAAACUAGGAGCGACUAGGUCAUCUUGGUUUCUAGGGAGUGUGGCCCUUAUCACCCACUCCCUUCCAGGAGCAAAAGAAACCCAGAAUCCAGGCACCUCUGGUUCUUCCUGAUAUCCAGCCCAGCAUGACAGACUUCUCCCUCCUCCUCCCCUGGAGGAAGCACUUCGUUCCUGAGGAGCCCCGCUGGUCGGGCCCUAACCCCGAAAACUUCGGUACUCAGCAUCCACACUGGGACAGGGGAAGGAUGAGAAUGACUUCCCAAACAUUUCCCCUUCACUCAGUAGCAGGCCAAUUGCAAUACUGCCUUUUUCUGCUUCUAAUCUUUACUUACAACCCUUCCUUUUCUCGGGACCCUCAGGCCGUGACCGGGCUUAUAGAAUCUGUUCUGGUUAUUGAUCAGCCCACUUGGGAUGAUUGCCAGCAGCUCUUACAGGUGCUCCUAACUACAGAGAAAAAAAGAAUGUCCCAAGAGCUGACAGCAGGCCAACCCAAUCACCGGACAAGAAAGAGGAUGGGACUUCAAUACUCCAGCUGGUAGGGAGCAGCUCCGUCUUUAUUGCCAGAGUCCAGUUGGCGGGUCUAAAAAAAAGGAGGGGGGUUGCAAAGCACCCCACUAAUUUGCUAAUUUGGCUAAGGUAAGAGCAAAGGUCUGAUAGUACUCCUACAGGAUUUUUAAAAAGACUAUUAGAACGGUACAGGAUGUAAACCCAUUUUGAUCCCAUGGCAGCAGAUCGCCAAGCCAAUGUAAUGAUGUCUUUUAUAGGCCAGUCAGCAUCAGACAGCAAGUUGCAGAAAAUGGAGGAACGGCAGAGAUGCUCCCUCCAGGACUUAAUAAAAAAAAAAAUUAGACAGAUAGGGAGGCAACAGAAGACAACAGCUACAGAGAUUGCGCGCCUCAGACAGAGCAGCCCUUGAAUGGCCAAAUGCAGUGAGGAGUGGCCCUACAGGACUUUGGGCUCGAGACACUUCCUAAAGCAGCUGCUGAGCAGAAGCUGGUCGGAGAAAGGCGCCAAGCACAGUAGGCUACUGAAGCGGCACUCUGCCCACCGGAGAGGCCAACGCAGCAGCCACAGUGACAGUACUGAAAUUCCCCCCCCCCCUUGCUUAUGCUGUGCACCCAGGUAUCCGAUUCUGGGGUGUACGGGAAAAAAGGGGAGGAGUUCCCCUCGCUAUGUCUAAAGCAUUUGACUAUGGACACAAGAACUGCUGAUUAUUCCUAGUGUCCCGCGCUUUUAUUAGAAAAAGACCUGUUGGAGACGUUGACUUCCCCUACUGUUCUCCAGGACUACUCUGCCUUCGCCAUGCCCUACCUUGCUGAGGAAGGCUUUGCAGCCACUGCUGGCUGAAUCCUCCCAGCUGCCUUGGUCACAGCCCAAGCCUGGGAACUCUGCUUACAGCCACCUGCCCCCACAGGCAGCAAGUGACUGAAGCGAGGAGGGGCCCGGGAGGUUCCGGAGCCCCAUUCCAAACAGCCUUCCCGAGCUGCUUGCAAGUUUCACAGAGAACAACUGCCCCCAGCUCCCAGACCGCAACUAUGGAAAGCUUGGGGUUCAGCAAUGCCAAGGAGAGCCGGUUUUGACGGUGCAUGCUGGUAAGAAGACAGGGCAGCAAUGGUGAAUGAGCUGAGCAGCCUACUUAAAGGGACAUCAGCUGGAUGGCAGAGAAGCUUUUUCUUACCAGGACUAAGAAGAUCACAGAAGAAAUCUUCUCGAGGUUUGGCCUGUUCAAGGCACGGUUGAAGGCUCUCCAGAUCUCCGAGCCCAGGCAUAGAGACCCCUGGCCACCCUGACACCUGGAAAUCUCGCAUUCUUUCCAGAAUUGACGCCUGGGGUAUAUCCGGAGGGACAUGAGAAAAGCUACAGCACCCCACAGCCAGAACAGCAGCUGCCCGCUCAUACCUGCAAUCCAUGCUUUGAUACCCCUGCCCUCACCCCUGAUUUCUGUCAACUAGUAGCAGGGCUAGCCUCCUGGGAUAUCUGAGAUACAUAUCCCCCACAGCUGCCCCUGGAGGCUGGCAAAAGAUUUUCCCCUGGAGGAAAUAUUUGGACACGGGGGUUCAGACAUCUCCCCCACUU